UUUGUCAAAUAAAUAAAUAAAACCUUAAAAAAAAAGAAAACAAACAACAAAAAAAAACUUCACCAACAUUCAUUGAGCUCUCACUAUAUCCCCGGCACUGUAGUCAGUAUCUGGGACCGCAAGAGUGGACAGUCAUGGUCCCUUAAUGACCUCAAAUCCAGCCUUGAAAUACUCUCUAACAGUCUCGUUCUGAAUGUACGCUCCUUUACUUCGUUACAGUCAGCCACAACUGGGAGGCUCUCUGACCCCCUGUGCACGACGCCCUCACUGUCCUUCCCCUACUCUUGAUGCCCCUCCUUUCAGUUUCUGCUUACUUUUAGAGUUUCUUGCCCACUAAAGUGCAAAUGACAGUUCAGGAGAGUUUUCUUCCUGGGGAACUUGCAUUAGAGAUCCAUGUCCUCCCCACGGCACUUUCCCUGCUGAACCUGGAUUUGGCCUCAGGACCCAUCUGUCCUUACCAGUCACAGUUGGCAGUCAGGUCUUCAACUAUUCAUCAUGCUUUAAGCCAAGACUGAAAAUUCAGGGAUCAGAUAGCAAACACUAGGUUCAGUUUUUGUGGGGAAGAGGGAAAGGAUAGGAACAGGGGUUUUAUGUUUUUUUUGGGGGGGGUAGGGAGCCCUGCAGAAUGAGAUGACAGAGAUACAGCCUGUCCCUGUUAUAUAUAAGGUCCCAACUUAGCAAAAGGCAUUGCCCAAGGGUGGCAAUUAUCCUGCAGAAAUGUUCACUACCAAGAAGAAAGUUAGAGAUGAUCUUCACUGGACUGAAAACCUUGUCACAGAGAAAGUGAGGAGUGUGGAAUUUAUAUCCCUAUAAAGGCACAGCUACUCAAAAUACCCAGCGUAAGUGGAGAAUUCAGAGCAGAAGCACCAUGCAUAGAGAAGGCCCCCGAGGUACUUUAAGGUGCCUAAGUGAACAGUUGGCCUCAAGAAGAAUCUAAUUUGAAUGUUGCAGAGCAAUCAUACAAGGAGGUCUCUUUUAGAAAGUUCUACCAUCUCGUGCACUGUGUUUGACAGAGAUAAAGUCCAAAGAAGGACAAUGAACACAUUCAUUAAUGAGGACUCAACUUGCUGUUGUACUGUCAAAAAGACUCACCAAUUUAAACGAUAUUCUAAGCUUUCACAGUAUUUAUUUUUUAAUAAAAGGUUGAUUUAUUUAUUUGACAGAGAGUGUGUGGGGCAAGGGGCAGAGGGAGAGGGAGAGAGAAUUCCAUGCCAUCUCCACCCCCCAAGAAUGCAGCCUCACACAGGGCUCGAUCCUAGGACCCUGAGGUCAAGAUCUGAGCCGAAACCAAGAGUUGGAUGCUUAACCGACUGAGCCACCCAGGUGCCCCCAGCUUUCACAGUAUUUAAAUGUGAAAGAAUGCAUUAAACUUGGGAACCUGCUGGGAUAUAGUAGAUUGUAAACAUCUCCAUAUGGUUAUAGAAUUUCAAAUGCAGCAUUAUGCCCUCACGAAAAUGAUAAUAUAUAAAUGCAGGAGAGCUUAGUUCAAGUAAAUGCAUUAUUGGAGUUGACAACGAAAGCGUGGACACCUUUAGGACUCAUAGGUGGGCUCACUGCCGAUCUCUGUGGACCAAGGAACCAACUUGGUAUCAUCUGGGCUCUCUGAAAAAGCUCUCUUUACCAUGUAUCGAACUGCAAGUCUCUGAAGCUCCUGUCCAGCUGUCAAAGUAUUGGAGUCACUUGUCUACAGUGAAAUGAUUUUCCAUGGAGACAUCAUUUUCCUACUCCUUAUUCCACGUGACGGGAGAAGACCUGCCCAACGUGAUGUAAAUGUGGCCAAAGUACCAAAACCCUCUGGACACAGUGACUGGUUCGGGAAUGAUUCUUUCAAGAUGAAACCAGACUUUGGAGUUGAGUUUCUGUCACUUGCCAUGAAGAGAGCCUUGACUGAUUCACUUACUUCUCACUAUGAAGGAGAUGCUCUAUAAAGAGUCCACGGCCAAGCUAUGUAUGACUCAUGGUUGCGUCAAGAGAUCCAGUGUGCUAAAUGUCAGUGAUAUGGUUGUGUGAUGGCCUUCACCCCAUCUUCUGCUAGACUGCCUAAUAGACCUUGAGUCUGGAUAUUCAGAGUCUAGGCUCUCAGCACUGCAGCCCACCUAACUGCAGCUAACAGGUGAGUCUGCUCUUUUGUUCAGGUUGAUGCUGGCUUUUAACCCUUGAGGUAGGAUACGCUUCUAAUAAAUCCUUGUAGAACCCUUUCUGAUGACUCAACUCCUCCCGAUUCAUUUGGGAUUUCUUACUGUCUGCAGAAACUUAAAUAUUACCUGAAUCACACCCUUUCCUAAACCACCAUUGGCUUUCUUGGACUUUGGUGCCUGGACUGGAUUGGAGCUUGCUCUGAAUUACUCCUGACUAUAACACCAAAUUUGAACUCCUGACCACCAUCCUCCUCUACCAGAAUAGGACCAAACUUCCUUUCUCAGUUUUUCCUGGCUCCUGGACAAUUCUUACUUACCCUUCUACCGUUCUUUAGGAGUGAAGAAAGCCAUUUCAUUUAUAGAUCUCUACGCUUAGAUAUAGCGAGGCUAUAUCAGGAUCUUGAAUGUGCUUUUUAAAACUAAAUGCAAGUUUUAAUUUUUCAUGUACCAAGUGCCUAUCCCCCACCCACAACCCCGAAAUCAGAAUCAUGCCGGAGUUCUCUGGCCAGACUCUACUUGGGAAACCAGCCAAAGGAAAUCUCUGCAACAGACUGGUCCAGCCCAAUUAGAGGAGCUGGAGUACGUGUUACUCCAACAAAAAGAAGGCCUGCCCGGAGUCAUCCAGCCCGUCCUCAUGCUGGCCCAGCCAAGGCGGGAAAAGUGGAGAAUGGCCACUAAAGACAGAAGUGACUUCAUGCUCUGUGUCUGGAAUCGCCUCUGAGCUUGUCCUAGCAAUGGACAUUGGGUGCUGACCAAGAGGACUUUGAUGAUUGUUGGUAACUUUGGGCAAAUGGGUCCUUUGCUGGGACGACUCUUCUCAUUUCCAGGUUGGUGCCUCAGUCUCUAUGUCAUCUGAAGCAAUGAGUCCUGGGUUUCCUGCCUGGAUGUGGGAAGCUGAAGACAGAGCUCCAAGACUUAGUCUACUUUAAACUGAGGAGCCAGGGAAGACUGCCUAGCCCAGACCACUGAGGUAGCCAUGAUUUCCUUCUUUUCAGAUAACCCAGGAUCAUGACCAGCCCUUGGACUCUUGAACCUCUCAGGGCCAAUGGAGAGGACAUGGGUCCAAGAGAGGAGUUCAGAAUGCCUCCAAGACAACUUAAACCAGGAAAGGAGAGUAGAGUCCCAUGCCAGAAUUUAAAGGGGGGCCCAAACUCAAAGGGGGCCAAUUCUUUCGUUAAGAGCUGACCAAAGGGCUGAGCACCCAGGAAGUUGAGGUCAGAGGAAACGGAAGACUGCCAAGAGGCCAUGUAGUGAUCCCGCCCCUCCCACCGCAGGCCUUGGAUUUUUGUUCAUGGCUGGGGGGAGGGAAGGGGUGGUGAGUCCCAGUCCUGCACUGUAAACUGAACCGUGGGUGACAAUUUCCAUUUAAACAAUAAAUGCUGGCUACACCCUAGGCUGGCUCAGCAAAGUCUAUUAAACACAUCAUAUAGGAACAAAGAUUUAUGCCUACAAGCAAUUUGUUCUGAGUUAAAAAAGAAACAAAACAAAACCUACCAAUGAACUUAGGCACACACCUUCUGUGUAAAGCUGGAGACAGUCUGUCCUGUACCUGGGUAAAUGCAGAGUAGUUUUGAACAUAUGGUAAGUGCUCGAUGACCACUUUAUGUUUGAUAGAUUAGUUAUUCUAUAAAAGUUUAUCAUGUUCUUUUCAUUUGUUUUCUUUUUUUGUAACUCAUUUUCAAUAAACUUCUGUUUAUGACAUGCA